rnacentral:rRNA from 1 species
UACGUAGGGGGCUAGCGUUGUCCGGAAUCAUUGGGCGUAAAGCGCGUGUAGGCGGUCCGGUAAGUCCGCUGUGAAAGUCGGGGGCUCAACCCUCGAAUGCCGGUGGAUACUGUCGGGCUAGAGUGCGGAAGAGGCGAGUGGAAUUCCUGGUGUAGCGGUGAAAUGCGCAGAUAUCAGGAAGGAACACCAAUUGGCGAAGGC